ensembl:rRNA 5S_rRNA 5S ribosomal RNA
GUCUACGGCCAUACCACCCUGAACGUGCCCGAUCUCGUCUGAUCUCGGAAGCUAAGCAGGGUCGGGCCUGGUUAGUACUUGGAUGGGAGAAAAUAUGUGUUGACAAGGAUGUGGAGAAA